rnacentral:lncRNA from 1 species
GCAGACUCAUUUAUUGCACGGAUGCAUCUUGUACAAGGUAUCAUGUUUGACAUUAUUCACCUUUGAUACACCUCUAGCAAGGCACCAACUUACAUGUGAUCAAUGAAAUGAAAGAAAUAAGAAAAAGAUGCAAGGCAAGACUACAUCUUAAAAGAGUAGUAAACACCAUCUGAUCGACCUACGUUUCAUAAAUGUGAACCAAAAUGUCGAAAUAAACCCCACCUCCAACAACUAUAACAAGAAUAGUCAUCUUAGACCACCACAACCAUGAAUUUUGAAAUGAUUAUAUCUGAACUACCUAGGUUAGUAAUGAUAUAACAAGAAGGAUGGAUGGCCAUUCUCUUUUUAAAAAAAAUUAAGUACCUAAACUUCGGUGGUCAUCUACGGGUUUUUUUCCAGGAAUUGAUUAAAGGCAAUAAAGUUGUAAGAGUAAGACAGAUAAUAGCAUACAUACAUUUACUCAUAUCUUCAGCAUCUCUUUGUAAUAAAUUAUCAUAGACAGUACCUGUUGUUUCAUCAUAGUGCAACGUAAAAUGAGUGUCUAAAAUGUUUGUUCGGGUGUGGUAUACAUAAAUCUCGAUGACUUCACCUAAUUUGACUAAGACAUAUAUAGCAGUCACCAAAAUAGCAUAAUGAAACCACACUCCCAGGUGUUACUGCUUUGAAGAGAAUAAAAUAAUUGCAAUUUUAUCUUGAAAGAAAGACUAUGCAGAAAAUCUCUACACCAUCAACAAUCAACUACUUCAUCCUAUAAGAGUUUCUUCAAUUGCAUAAAAGAGUUCAUAUACUAAUAUAUAUCAUAAUCAACAGGAGACAGACGAUUUUCUCGAUGGAAAGGAUCAGUGGUGGAUUCAGUGAUUGGAGUUUUCCUCACCCAGAAUGUCUCUGACCAUCUUUCCAGGUAUAAGCAUUACGAGCUUAAUUUUGGUGCAUUUAUAAACUUGAUGUCAUGCGACAGUAACAAUUUCUAUUCUCUGUUGACAGCUCUGCUUUCAUGUCCCUUGCUGCUCGAUUUCCAAAAGAUUUAGGCAGCAUGUACAAAGCACACCAGGCUGAAGACACAAGGCUGGAACCACAAGUGCGUGUAGUGGAACCAGAAGAAGGGACUGAAUGGAAUGUAAAAUUAUUGAAUCAAUCUGUUUAUGACCAGAGUUCUUUGACGACGGAUAUAGUUGAGCGUUCUGCAGAAAAAGAAGCCAUCAACAGCAAUGAUUCAUGUGGAACGACCAGCAGUGCAAUUAGUCUGUCAGAUGAAUCAAACUCCAGAUUGUCAGUAUCAUCUCAACAAAAUAUUAAGGAACACUGUAGUCCAAUGGGAAGUGGACUAUGUUGUUCCACAAUUGAGGAAGGAGAAGAAAAAUCAUGUUAUGAUGAUAGGAAAGAGUUGAUUGAUAUAGUUUCAUCCCAAGGCUCUGUCAUUUCGUCUCAAAUUUCUGGAGAUUUUUCAAAUGAUCAAAAUCCUGAGAAAAUAGGAGCAUGUUCAGAUAGCAACUCGGAAGUAGAAGUUCUAUCGAAAACAGCAAAGUACAACCAUUAUGAUAGUAACACUUCUUUCAGUAAACUCCUCGAAAUGGUUAGUUCAACCAAGUUUUAUGAAGAUAACAAUCUGAAAAGCAAAUCAAAUCAGAACUUAAGAGAUGCAUAUGAUCAAUCUUUAUGCAGGCAGCAUGACAACCCAAAAGAAAGCUUGCAAAAGUCAAGUGUUACUCAUGGUCCUUCAGAAGCAUCCAUUAACCUGUCCCAUGACUGCUUUGAUCCUUUCAAAACCAAAUCAAGUGACUUCUUGAUGAAAAAGGAUGAGAAUGGCAUGAACAGAUCUAGUUCUCAAACAACAGAACCUGCCAGCCAAGUUGCAAUUACUCUUUCUCAAGUCCAUCCUCAGGAACAAAGCAAUCACCAGCAACAAAGCUUUUUCAAUUUCAACAGCCCUGGACAAACUCAAGAUCUUAUGCAGAAAGAAAGGGGAUCAGAUGUUGGCAAGCACAAAAAUGCCACGAGGAAUGGGGCCAAUGAGAUAAGUUCUUCGCCAAUAAAAGUAAAGACCAAGGAUCAAGGAAAAGAUCAAAAGGUUGAUUUUAACUGGGAUAGUUUAAGAAUAGAAGCACAAGCUAAGGCUGGGAAAAGAGAAAAGACAGAAAACACUAUGGAUUCUUUGGAUUGGGAUGCUGUGAGAUGUGUAGAUGUCAAUGAAAUUGCCAAGACCAUCAAAGAACGGGGUAUGAACAACAGGCUUGCAGAACGGAUUCAGGUAGAAACAAAUACCAUGAAAUGCUACUUAUAACUUUCUUGACACAGACACCCUAAGAAUGCAGCUUAUAGUACAUGAUACACUAUGCAGAAUUUCCUGAAUCGACUGGUUGAAGAACAUGGAAGCAUUGACCUUGAAUGGCUGAGAGAUGUUCCACCAGACAAAGCAAAGUAAGUCCAGUGGUUAAUUAAACUACCUAAUGAAAUACUAUUUCUCAUACAAUAAAGUCAGCGUUUAUUGACUUUAGUUGGUGAAACCAACAUCCUGAACUCUGUCCAUUCACUAGUAAAACACACACAAGUGAUGAUACUUUUUUUUCCAGUAAGGCAAUAUAUCCAUAAUAAAAUUGAUUUACACAUACAGAGAAUACUUGCUCAGUGUAAAAGGAUUGGGAUUGAAAAGUGUGGAAUGUGUGCGGCUUUUAACACUGCACCAUCUUGCCUUCCCGGUAAGUUGAAAUAAGUUUGUGCAAUUACUGGAAUAUCGAAUAAAUCUGAUAAAUUACUGACAUAUAACAGGUAGACACAAAUGUUGGACGAAUAGCAGUACGAUUGGGGUGGGUACCUCUGCAGCCACUGCCUGAAACACUGCAGUUGCAUCUCCUAGAAUUGUGAGUACCACAUAAAUGAUGAGGCAUUUGUUCUAUUGAGAAGAAAACUAACAUCAUUGUCUUAUGUAGGUACCCAGUGUUGGAAUCAAUACAGAAAUACCUCUGGCCCCGACUGUGCAAGCUAGAUCAAAAAACACUGUAUAGAGUUUGUUUUUAAAUUACUGUAGCGAAAUAUCAUACGACUAAAUUCUCUGUUUCGGCUGUUUAGCAAGGGCGAUAGUGAUUCCUCUUGUUUGUUUAUCUUAUGUUAUUUUGUAAUAUGUUGCAGAUAUGAGCUACAUUAUCAGAUGAUUACAUUUGGAAAGGUAUAUUACAUUUUCUCAAGAGAUUGACUGUACUUAACCAAAGCCCAUUAUGACAGACAAAAACUGCAAUGAAUGCAGGUCUUCUGUACAAAAAGCAAACCAAAUUGUAAUGCAUGCCCAAUGAGAGGAGAAUGUAGACAUUUUGCUAGUGCAUUUGCAAGGUAUGUAUACGUACUACUAAAUUCUUUGCAAACUUUAGCACUCUCGAAGGCGCUGCAAGUAUUAUAUGUAGCAAUAUAGACAAGGAACUUGACAGACAGAAUUUUUGGAGGUUCAUAUAAAAAUCGUAAUACUCACCAACUCGUUAAAUAAAAGUAUCUUUGCACUCUAUCUUUUUUACAAUGGUUUAAUAAAGAAAUGUUUACCUAAGUAAUAGUUGGAAACUAUCUCAAUGCCACACAGAAGCCAAUAAUAUGCAUGCAUUGCAAGUUAUUAUGGAUUAAUAUAAACAAUAUUGUAUCCAGUGCAAGGCUUGCACUGCCUGGACCAGAGCAGAAGAGUAUAGUUAGCACAGCUGGAAAUAGUGUGAUUGACCAGAAGCCAUCUGAAACCAUCAGUCAGUUGCACUUGCCUCCCCCUGAGAACACAACCCAGGGAGAAGAAAUUCAACUAACAGAAGUGUGCAGGCCAUUGGAAUCAAAAUCAGAGAUAAAUAUUUGUCACCCUAUCAUUGAAGAGCCAACAACUCCAGAACCAGAAUGCUCCCAAGUAUCACAGAUUGAUAUAGAGGAUGCUUUCUAUGAGGAUUCAUGUGAAAUUCCUACCAUCAAGCUUAACAUAGAAGAGUUCACUCUGAAUUUACAAAAUUACAUGCAAGAAAAGAUGGAACUCCAAGAAGGUGAAAUGUCAAAGGCAUUGGUUGCCUUGAAUCCAGAAGCUGCUUCAAUUCCUAUGCCAAAGCUAAAGAAUGUGAGCCGAUUACGAACAGAGCACUGUGUGUAAGUAAAAUGACAAACUCAUCUCCAAUUGCAUAACAUUGAAAGCACAGAUGAAAUUGCAUAAUAGUUACCUCAAAAGCAAGACCAGCUAUUAGUAAUUACAUGCCCGGAAUUAUAAUCCAGCGAUAUUCUAAGAUGGGUGUAAUAAGAAUCUUGCAUGUAAUACAUCCAGAGUUUAGAAUGCAUCACAACCACCCUACUCCAGCAGUCAAAUUCUAACAAUAUAUGCUGGUUGUGUUUACUUUUGCAGUUAUGAACUCCCAGAUACACAUCCUCUUCUGCAAGGGGUUAGUUAUUGCUGCAUCUGUUAAUCAAAGCUAUGUUUUGUCCUUUCUGCCCCAUCUUUUAUUGACUACUUAUGCAUUACAGUGGGACACACGAGAGCCUGAUGAUCCAGGCAAAUACCUUCUUGCUAUAUGGACUCCAGGUAGGCAAAUAACAGCUUCACUACUUUGCCUCCUUCCAGAUGAAUUCAGAUACUCUGUCUAGCAUUUGACUGCUUCAUGCAUCAGCACAAUAUGUUACAUCUCAAAUUUUAAAAUACAUAUUUCCUUUCAGCUUUCUUGUGUCUCUUAGCUAAUUUUCUCGAAUAAAUUUUACAUCAGGUGAAACAGCAAAUUCUAUACAGCCACCAGAAAGCAAAUGCAGCUCCCAAGAAGAAUAUGGCCAACUCUGUAAUGAGAAGGAAUGUUUUUCAUGCAACAGUUUCCGAGAAGCUAAUUCACAGAUAGUUAGAGGGACACUCCUGGUAUUAGUGCUUGUCAAAAUCAUUAUUUUAUUAACCAUAUCAGCGUAAUAAUUUGUGUACAGUAGUGAGGGCAGGGGAGGGAACAUCUGCAUAGAAUUCGAGCAUGAUAGUAGACUGACUUGAGUUCAUGAUAAAUAUGAACAGAUACCAUGUCGAACAGCUAUGCGGGGAAGUUUUCCACUGAAUGGCACCUAUUUCCAGGUCAAUGAGGUAAGAUAAUGUGCAAUUUUUAGAUUACUAAAUCUCUUUUCCUCUUGUACUUAUUUAUUGAAAUAUAAGAUAGUACCAACUCGUAUGAUUUGCGCCAGGUAUUUGCUGACCACGAGUCUAGUCUUAACCCAAUCAGUGUGCCCCGAAGUUGGAUCUGGAACCUAAAUAGACGAACAGUAUAUUUUGGAACCUCCGUACCAACAAUAUUUAAAGGUAAAGACUUUAGAAUUCAUAGUAAUAUAUUACGAUUUCACGACUAUACAUGAAACAAUGAAGUUGAAUACAUGAUUUUUGCCAAUCAGGUUUAACAACUCAAGAAAUUCAACAAUGCUUUUGGAGAGGUAUGAUUUAAUACAGAAUGAAAUCCUGCUUUGUUAAUCGAAUAUCCUACUAUAGCUAGUUUUUUAUAGGGUUGAUUAAGAUCAAUAAUUUGCACAUUUUAGUCUACAGGAUCAAAGGACUAAUAAACGCACUUCCUACAUAGUUCGUCCAAAUAAAUUCUAGAACUUUAGUUGACAAUAGUUUGCCAUAACAAGAUCAAAAGAUAAAUAGCAAACCAACCAAAAUAUAUCUUAGUUUCAUAACCAAAGGGAAAGAUAUGAAACAACCUAAUUAGGAGUAAAUUAUUAUUGUAAUAGGGAGCGACUUGUUUCUUAUCUUAAUCUCACCCAGGUGCAUUUUGUGGCCUAAUGAAGUCUAAUUGACAACUUGCACUGUUUACCACUUCAGUCUACUUGGGUAUCAAAACUCCUUAUGCCAUAGCAGUCCACCCUAAACCCACUUCGUCUGAUGAUUUUAGCAACUUUGUUUCCGUAUUUUCAAGUCAUUACAUUGUCGGUCUUCUAUUAUUCAUAUCCUCUUAUCCUAGUAGAAGAUUCAUGCGCUUUCCAGCAUGCAUUAACACUAAUACUCAUACAUAUUAGAACACUUCCAACGUGUGUUUCUCUUUUCACAUUGUUUUACAGUCGGGGUUAUCGUAUUCGCAUACCCUUUUUUAUAUGACACUACUGGUUUGUUUGUGCUAAAAAAAGGUGAUUGCUAAAAAGUAAUUUCUUUUCUAGUAAUUCUUUUAUUCGAAUAUAACAUAAAUUAAUGGUGCUGUUUCUUGUAAAAGAACAUUCUCUUCUACCGCAUUUACGUUCUUUAUAAACAACUCCAACUUGGUUGUUGAAAAGCGUAACACUACUAUUGUAAUAAGUGGUUAUUUUAUUAAAUGGAAUUUUUUUUCUAAAAUACCUUAAACAAACACUUCAAUAUAAAUAUGAUGUACUACUUUGUAUUACAAAUUACAAGCACAAGUGUCCUAAACAAAAUAAAUAUUUACUUUAAUAUAUUAAAAUUUACAAUAUAUAAAUUAUAUUAUGAUUAAAAUUCAUAAUAGAUAAUUAUUUUAUUAUAUGAAUUAUAUCUUUGGAUUUAUAAUGAAUAAUUUAAGUUAUAAUGGUUAUUAUCAAUUAUUACAAAAUCAUUUUAAAAAUUUCAUUAAAGAUAUGGAUCAGAGUGUAGAUUGAAAAUAUUAGUAGCUAAGUAGUUUGAGAUGGUUUGAAAAUAUUAGUAGCUAAGUAGUUUGAGAUGGUUGAGAACUAUUUUAAUUAAUCACAGAGAGAGUGGUGUGUGAAAUGCACAUAUGGAUGAAGAGAGAAAAUACUGUAAAAACAUCACUGAAAAAUUAAAGAAAAUGUAAGCAGCACUAUUCAAUUGUGAUUUAUAUAACUUAUGGAAGUAUAUUAAUUAGAAAAGAAAAGGAAAAUGAAUUAUUAUGAACCGUCUAUCCUAAUUUGGAGGAACCAUGUUAUAGCUGAAUAGAAAAGCAGGUAUCCAGAUAAUAUGACCUAUCUGAAAAUGUUUUGCAGGUUAUGUCUGCGUGCGGGGAUUUGACAGGGAAACACGAGCACCCCGUCCUCUGAUGGCUAGACUACAUUUCCCAGCUAGCAAGUUGGCUAAGACUAAAGAGAAGACCGAAAAGGGAUCGAGUUCCGCAAAAUCACGAGGAAUGAAAUCGAAUGUAGAACAGCCGGAAUUGAUUUCUAACAGUAGCAACUUUUAAUAGAGGGGAAGAAACUUCAGACAAAUCAGUAUUACGCAUCCCAUAGUGUGUUGACCGGUAGCAUGUAUAAAAUGACGAAGUCAUUAUUUAAUUUAACUUUGAGUUCUUUCUAUCGUGCUCAGAGACUGAGCAGUUUUUCCAGAUUAGGACCCCCAAUAAUGUACUGGUGGUAGCACUUAGGUUCUAGUUUCUUGUUUCCAGAAAAAAAAAAAAAAUCACAUGAUGUGGAUUGUGAGCCAUUUAAUGCUGCUAUAUGAGAUUAACUGGGAUACUUGCGUAACAGCAAAGUACCUUUCACCCCAACUACUGCAUUAGGUACUACGAAUUCUAGAUUUGAAUGUCAUGCCCCUCUCUUCACCAGCGGUGCGCGUACACUUAAUCAGAUUAUAACGUGAGUUCUAUUAUCAUGAUACAAUAACAACAGCUACAAGGCCUAUUUCAGUAAGUGAAGGUGCCCAACUAUAUGGAUUAAUAGAAAGUACAAUUAAACCAGUGAUAUUUACAAUGAGGUUUUCCGACUAGCUGGAAAUGAUGAUUGAAAAGUUCCGAGACAGCAUAGCAAAGUGUAAAAUGAAAUGCAGUCCACUGGACUAAUUAGCUACUCCAAAAUUCUGAUUUCUAUUAGCAACGGAAGGAAAUCCUGGCUCAAAAACUGGGAACAGAAAUUGUCUUCCAACAAUUGGAAGAAAACAAUUUCAUGGCAUAAAUAGAUAGUAAUAUUCAAUUAAUUCAUCUAAAAGCAUGAAACAAUAAUCGAUGCGAACAUUGAAAACAAAACAAAUUACGCCCCCAAACAUUGUAAUGAGGAACAGUAAAAUAACAGUAAAUGCUUGAAGUGAGGAGCAGUGAAUUAAUAUAGAGUGAAGGUUUCCGUCAAGGAAGCAAUUAUCAUAGAUUAGAUGUUCUGAACAAGAAAGCGUACCUUGAGAAUUGUUUGGCUCGAAUAGAGAACUACUUCGAUUCAGGAAAAAAGGGACAUCGAUAGGGUUGAGGCAGAGAAGAUAAUAUGAAAGAGGGUGCGGCGCGGGUGGGAAAUGAGCACAAAUUAAAUCUUUUUGCCGCCUUUGCGCCAACUUCAUAUAUUUUUCUUCCCUCCAAGUAUUUCAAUAUUCUUUUCCCACUCGAUGAGUUGGACUUGACUUUUCAAUUUUGGAUCAGAGUCCAAGCAUAAAAC